UCGAAUACUCCCUGGGCCUCACGUUUAACAAGCCGCCGAUGCCGUUGACCAAGCAAUUGCCGCUGCUGAGCGCGCGGAUCGGGUCUCCGGUCGAGUUCGUGGCCGAUGCGCCCGACGGUAACAUGGAUGCGGACGUGCUGGAUGUGCUGGGCACGCGGGAGUACCUGUUGCGCUCCUAUCGGGAUGUGCAGAAGAAGCCCGGCGAGAUCGGCGAGACGCUCAACAUCAACCUGAAUUACUAUGCCACGGGCGAGGCCACGCCCCAUGUUCCCGAGAAGUGCUGGGCCGGCAGCGGGAUGAUCGAGAAGGGCGGGACGCGGCACAUUUUCACGGUGCCGGAUGUGCGCCGCAAGGAUGGCUCGGUCAUUGACCUGCGGAUGACGAUGAUUUCGUUCCUGCCCGGGAGCGGCGAUGACGCGAUCUAUUCGGCCAAGACCGAUGACACGCGUCUGCUGAACGUCGCAUACGUGUUCCAGGUCAACGGCAAUUAUGUGGCGACGCCGAAGGAAGUGCUCAGCACGUUCUGGAAGGCCGAGAAUAUGCAUGCGUAUCACUGCAAGAU
rnacentral:misc_RNA from 1 species